rnacentral:rRNA from 1 species
UACGUAGGGUGCAAGCGUUAAUCGGAAUUACUGGGCGUAAAGCGUGCGCAGGCGGUUGUGCAAGACAGAUGUGAAAUCCCCGGGCUCAACCUGGGAACUGCAUUUGUGACUGCACGGCUGGAGUGCGGCAGAGGGGGGAUGGAAUUCCGCGUGUAGCAGUGAAAUGCGUAGAUAUCUGGAGGAACACCGGUGGCGAAGGCGGCGAUCCUGGACCGGUAUUGACGCUGAGGCGCGAAAGCUAGGGGAGCAAACGGG